UAUGGGGGGGGCAAGCGUUGUUCGGAAUUACUGGGCGUAAAGGGUUCGUAGGCGGCCAACUAAGUCAGACGUGAAAUCCCUCAGCUUAACUGGGGAACUGCGUCUGAUACUGGUCUGGCUUGAGUGCAGGAGAGGAACGCGGAAUUCCAGGUGUAGCGGUGAAAUGCGUAGAUAUCUGGAGGAACACCGGUGACGAAGGCGGCGUUCUGGACUGCAACUGACACUGAGGAACGAAAGCCAGGGGAGCAAACGGG
rnacentral:rRNA from 1 species